UACGAAGGGUGCAAGCGUUACUCGGAAUUACUGGGCGUAAAGCGUGCGUAGGUGGUUUGUUAAGUCUGAUGUGAAAGCCCUGGGCUCAACCUGGGAAUUGCAUUGGAUACUGGCAGGCUAGAGUGCGGUAGAGGGUAGUGGGAUUCCCGGUGUAGCAGUGAAAUGCGUAGAGAUCGGGAGGAACAUCCGUGGCGAAGGCGACUACCUGGACCAGCACUGACACUGAGGCACGAAAGCGUGGGGAGCAAACAGG
rnacentral:rRNA from 1 species